rnacentral:tRNA from 1 species
GGAUAUGUGGCUCAGUUGGUAGAGUACUUGGCUGGAAUGCAGAGUCUUGGGUUCAAUCCCCAGCACCA